rnacentral:tRNA from 1 species
UCCCUGGUGGUCCAGUGGUUAAGAAUCUGCCUUGAAAUGCACGGGACAUGGGUUCGAUCCCUAUUCAGGGAA